rnacentral:sRNA from 1 species
CAGAAGAACACUGUUGCUCUUGGUGGACGGGCCCAGAGGAAUUCAGAGUUAAACCUUGAGUGCCUGCGUCCGUGAGAAUUCAGCAUGGAAUGUCUCUACUAUUUCCUGGGAUUUCUGCUCCUGGCUGCAAGAUUGCCACUUGAUGCCGCCAAACAGGUUGGACUGAAGUUCUUCAGGAAGCAUUCAUCUCUGGCUCACUCAUCUCUUCUUCUGCAAACUGUUGGGAAGGCUGAAACUACAGCAAAAUGCCUCCAGCUCCAUUCUUUGCUUUCGGCUCAUGGACAGUAAAAACUAUGCAGCCCUUCUCUUGUGAAGCUUCUUUUCCAUUGCAAUUGCAACCCAUUCUUGCCAGACAGUGGUUGGGGGAGGGUUGGACAGCCUCCGGCCACAGAACAAAGCAACUCCACCAACUAAACUAUGUCCAGCUUCCAUCCAAAAGGGUGGAGACCUCACAUGAAAUGGGGUCUCCAAUCUGGAGGCAAAUUUACGAAUCUCCCCAGCCCUGAAGCUAUU